rnacentral:rRNA from 1 species
GAUCCUGGCUCAGGAUGAACGCUAGCUACAGGCUUAACACAUGCAAGUCGAGGGGCAGCAUGGUCUUAGCUUGCUAAGGCUGAUGGCGACCGGCGCACGGGUGAGUAACACGUAUCCAACCUGCCGUCUACUCUUGGCCAGCCUUCUGAAAGGAAGAUUAAUCCAGGAUGGCAUCAUGAGUUUCACAUGUCCGCAUGAUUAAAGGUAUUUUCAGGUAGACGAUGGGGG